UACGUAGGGUGCAAGCGUUGUCCGGAAUUAUUGGGCGUAAAGAGCUCGUAGGCGGUCUGUCGCGUCUGCUGUGAAAACUCAGGGCUUAACCCUGAGCUUGCAGUGGGUACGGGCAGACUAGAGUGCGGUAGGGGAGACUGGAAUUCCUGGCGUAGCGGUGAAAUGCGCAGAUAUCAGGAGGAACACCGGUGGCGAAGGCGGGUCUCUGGGCCGUAACUGACGCUGAGGAGCGAAAGCAUGGGGAGCGAACAGG
rnacentral:rRNA from 1 species